rnacentral:rRNA from 1 species
UGGGGAAUAUUGCACAAUGGGCGCAAGCCUGAUGCAGCCAUGCCGCGUGUAUCAAGAAGGCCUUCGGGUUGUAAAGUACUUUCAGCGGGGAGGAAGGUGUUGAGGCUAAUAACCUCAGCAAUUGACGUUACCCGCAGAAGAAGCACCGGCUAACUCCGUGCCAGCAGCCGCGGUAAUACGGUGGGUGCAAGCGUUAAUCGGAAUUACUGGGCGUAAAGCGCACGCAGGCGGUCUGUCAAGUCGGAUGUGAAAUCCCCGGGCUCAACCUGGGAACUGCAUUCGAAACUGGCAGGCUAGAGUCUUGUAGAGGGGGGUAGAAUUCCAGGUGUAGCGGUGAAAUGCGUAGAGAUCUGGAGGAAUACCGGUGGCGAAGGCGGCCCCCUGGACAAAGACUGACGCUCAGGUGCGAAAGCGUGGGGAGCAAACA